GGGCGGUUCGCAUAGCGGCUAUUGCAUCUGGCUGUAGACCAGACGUCUUCUGACUUCGGGGGUUCGAGUCCCUCACCGCCCA
rnacentral:tRNA from 1 species